rnacentral:lncRNA from 1 species
UGAGAAAUACAGCCAACAAAUAAAUUUUCAAUUAAAAAAAUAACAAAAAUAGAGACAACAACACAAUGUCAAGUGCCAAAUAGAAGAGCGAACGUGAAAAGAACAAAAGAGCAAGUGGGUAAAGAAUAGAGAUAAGGAUGCGUGAAGAAUAGAGACAAAUCUGGACAGAAACUCAGUGGGAAGAACAAAGACGAAUCUGGACAGAAAACCCAGCAAACAAGUUUAAAGAUAGUCGAAGAUGAGAUCUGAGAAUGAAUGAAGGACCUGACCAUAGACUGAUGCGCGAACUCAACAUUCGAACAAAUGAAUCGAUCUGAAGAUGACUUUCAAAUGAAUGGAGAUGCGUGGACGGGUUCAAUCUGAGCAAAGACAAAUGACUGAAUCAACUAGAGACUAGUAUGCAAAUGGAAUGAAAGCUUGAGUGAAUCGAUCUGCACGAGAAAUAGAGAUAGAUCUGCACGAAUUGAAGAGAAGUUUCACUGUAGCCAAAAGAUUGGUCUGGACAAAGACAAACUGAUCCGCAAAUCGAACUGAUGCACGAAGAUGUUGGUCUAGAUGAAGACGAACGGAAUAGGAAGAUCUCGUCUUCACCGGCGAGUUUCACAGUAGGGAGGAGCGACGACGACGACUACACAGGAUCUAGGUUAGAAAGCUCUGAUACCAUGUAGUUUAUUAUUGAGUAAUAAUUUAAUUUCUUGAUAAUUUUCAAUAAUACAAGUGUAAUUAUACACAAAAUAAUGCAACAUUUGGAGAGAAUAAAUACAAUUAUAUUUUUAAAAAAUAUAACCAAACUACCCUAAUUACUGUAAUAGAAUGGAAGAUUGAAACCAUAUAGUUUUUACUUACCCUGACAUUUGUCUCUAUCUGGACUAGAGAAGGUUUUGUACACUUUCAACUGCAAGAAAAUCGUGUGGAUGAUUCCUAAUGCAAAUGUCUAUGUAGAAAUAGCCAUCAAUUAAUGGAGGCAUUAUAAUCUUAACCAACGGUGAUAGCCUGAUAGGUUCAAAUUCCACCCAACAUAUUAUUGAACAUUUUCUUUUUUCUUUGUUUUAGUACAAAAGGGGUGGAGGUACGUGGGUUUGAACUGCAGACCUUUAGAGGACUGCAUAUUUAGUUAUGUAGUUUGCUUUUAUGAUUUUCAUGCUAGCUACCCUUUUGGAAGUUAAGUGGUUGAAUCUUUAAAGAUGAAUGAUCGAGAUUUAAGUGAAAUGAAUAAGGAAGAAAAUCUUUAAAGACAAGUGAUUGAUAAAUAGUUUUAUAUUUCAUUAUUUUUUGUCUCUUCUUCUGCCUCGCCAGUUUUUUCAAUAUUUUUUUUAUGGUUCAACCUAAUGGGACAUGCAUGUAUAUAAUUUCUUUGGUCAACUGAGUUAAGUUGACAACCUCUCCCGUCUAUUGAUUUCUUUCAUCAAUGUAAAAAAAUUCCAAUAAUAUAUCUGUUUGCCUAACCAUUUAACAUAAAAACUACUACAAACCACAACAAGACCAAAUUGGAUCUCACAUUGCAUUGGAAAACUGAAGAACAAAAACUCUAGAGAAUGAACUACUUUGGUAAACAGGAUGUUUAAUUUCUCAUAUCAAAGAUUUGUAGUUACAUUACCAUUUUGUUUUGUACUAUUGUGUGAACCUUCUUUUUACUAUGAGGCAUUUUAUCUCCAUAACACUACAAGAAAUAACAUUUUCGAUACCUAACGAAAAAGGCUACAAUAGACUUUUUAUAGCCUUUUUUAAAAAUCCUGACAGCCCAUGUUAUUAGAAGUCUGAAACUUUUUAUAGCGUUUUUCUGAAGCUAUAAUGAGUGCUAUUGUAGAGUACGAAGAUAUAGCUUAUAUACGUUGCUAUAAAAUUAUUUGAUAGCAUUUUUCCAUAUAGCUAUAGUAAGUUUAUAUAGCUUAAACAAUGUGCUAUCUAUAACCUAUAAUAGCAUUUUUUUCAAUGCUUAUUCUUACAACUUUAAUAAUAAGCUAUAAUAAUAUCAUUUAAUUGUUUCCAAUUAUUAUAAUAAUUAUAAUAAUUAUAACAACCUUUUAAUUGCAUUUCGUCUUUGGCUAUAUAAAUCUUCCUAUUGGUUUAACUUAUGGCGUGACAACUUUUUUCUCAAAAAUAAUUUUUGAAUUAAUUAAUUAGCUUUUAAUAAAUUUUAGUUUAAGCACUCAACUUUAGUUAAAUACAUAUAAACACUUUAAGUACUAAUAAUUUUCAUUCAGAAUCUAUUAAAAUUACAAAGUAAGGUAUUCAUUAAUUUAAUAAACUUAAUAAUACAAAGGUAAAUAAAGUAUUUAGUGAUGAAUGUAUCCAACAACACAAGUUUGGCAAUGCUAAACUAAUAGAACAUAUAAGCAAAACCAUAUCAUGGAAGCGCUCAUCUAUUUCAUUAAGCCACAACAAAAUUUUGAACUUGAUUUGACCCACAAGAUUAUGGAUGAUGUAACAUGAUGGAUUAGUUGUAGCUUGUACCAUCCACCUGAGAAAAGAAAUUUCAUGGAGUAAGCAAACCAAAAUCCAUAACAGAGACUAAAUAUGAUCUCUUAAAGAAAAACUUGACGACUAAUGUUGAUGUUUUAAAUAUUAACGAACCAAAAUUAAGAAAAUGAAAAAAAAGUUUAAUGACUAAAAUCAAACUUUCAAAAGUUCAACCACAUCAACAAAUAUAAAUCAAGCCAAGAACUAGAUUUAAAGUUUGAUCUAAUCAAAUAUAACAAACACUUAAUGACUAAGCCCAAAAAACUAUCAAAGAAGAAACUUAAUCAAUUCAUAGAGUAAGAUAUCCAUAAUGCGUCUGCAGGUCAAAGUAAUAGUAUUCAUCUUUUCAUACGCCCCCAUAAUCAAAUAGCAUCCACUAAAAAGGAGCGUAGCGGUAGCAUCUAUGUUGAAGAGUCAUCCAUUGAAGUUGUGGUUUCAAGGGAAGUAGUUUCAGUUCUUGUCCCAGUUCUU